AUAAUGUAACUUUAAACAUAUUUAAUUUGGAUUGAUUCAUUAGAUAGUAAAAUAUCAUAGGCUUAGGUGUGGUAUAACUGAAUUACUUAAAACAAUUAUUGUGUGCAUUACUGCUUGUUGAUCGUACACUUUAUCAUGGAACUUUCAACUAUCAUCCAUUACAUAAAUUCCACAUUUUUUGCAAGUUUUCAAUUAAAAACUAUACAACAUUUACAAUCACUUACAUAUAGGAAAAAUGUUUUAAUUGGACCGACUAAUAUCUUUCGUUAUAUCUAUAAUUGAAACAAAUAGUUUCUUUUUCAGUUAUAUACAAAACAAUGCUUAUAUUCCUCUAAACAUAAAAUAUCACCGUCGGUGGAAGUCUACCGUCGAUAUUAUACCGACAGUGAAAAAAUUGGUACAUCGCGGUGUUUGCCACCGGUAAUGGGUCCGGAUCAACAUACUGCCUGUGUUUUGAGCAUGGUACCUAAAUAAGGGAACUUGAUACCAUAACACAAUCAUGUUUCGUUGUAGUCUUGGAUCGACCAAUUUAAACUGUAUUUUGUUUGCUUCUUAGAUCAUUAAGGUUUCAAUUUCUCUUUCAAAUAUGCCAUUAUAUGAUCUAAUGCGGAAAUAGUUGGUUAAUUACAUGAGGUGACAUUAUAAAUUACACAUAUAUAAUUAUUUAACGGCACAUAAGCAAAUAUAUAUAUAUAUAUAUAUAUAUAUAUAUAUAUAUAUAUANUUCGUACGCCUUUUCAUUAACCACAAAUUGAAAGCUAAAUUCUAGGGUUUUAAAAAUCUUCCCCGAUCGAGUUGAAGAAGCAGCAGUUUGGAAUGACAAGUUUCAUCCCGAACGUGAUGGACUUUAUCCUAUAAUGGUGCUUAAGUGUCAAUGUGCAUUUCUUUAAAAUGUUGUCUCCUAUAAUCAUGGUGUGAAAUACACAUUCAAUGAUCAUGAUUUUGCUGGUAUGACAUAUUAUGAGUGUAUUAUAUGGCUAAAAUGUUUCAUGCAAGAAGAGUGUAAGAAGCUAUAUUACUUUGAACUAGGUAAACUACUUCGGACCAGGAUUUUUUAUGCAUAUGGUACCGAUGGUGAAAUAUCCUUUUAUAUGGGCCAUAUUGAUGAAAGAAUAGAUGAUUGGUUUGGGGAAGAAGAAAAAGAAGAUGAUGAUGACGCCCAUGAUUCAUGUGUUGUUGGUGGUGAAAGAGAAAGACAUUGCUAGCUAUAUGGAGUUGAAUGAGGAAACAAUGAAUAUGAACAAAACGAAAGAUUAUGAGUUUCUUAGUAAAGUAUGUUUUGAAGGGGAUAAAGAAGAUAACAACAACAAUGAUGAGGUUGAGGCUGGAUAUGAACCCAAUACUCAAGUACACUCCAUUUUUAACAAGGCAAUACAUUGAAAAAAGCAGAAGCCUAUAUUUGGUAUCAGAUUCCAUGAUCUAGCUCAAUUAAAAACCAUGUUGUGCAACUAUGUUGUUGCUAAUGAGUAUCAACUUUUGUUUGAAAAGAUGAUAAAAAGGUUGUUGGUUAGGUGUUACAAGGGUGAAUGCACAUUCAGGUUGUGGGAAACUUGGAUGGGUUUGAUGAAACCUUCCAGUCCAAGACUUUGAAAGGAUAUCACAAUUAUGCUAGGAAAUAUAAGUUGGGAUCAUUGGUUACUUAUGCUUGGAUAGGAAGUCACUACACAAAAGAAAUCAUAUAUAGACAAUAGAUGAGUGUAGGAAAAUUAAGUCUACAAGUAAUCAAUAAAUUUGGAAUUCAUGUAAGUCUAAUUCAAUGUAAGAGAGCCAAGAAAUAUACAUUAUAACUAAUAUAGUGAACUCCUUUUGAAAACUAUUAAAAGACUUGGUCAUGUACAUCAAAAAUAAGGAGAUCACAUCCAGGUUCCGCUAUGAAACUUGAAGUUACUACAAUUCUAGAUGGAAAAGACUAUUUUUGUGAGUUCUAUGUUUGUUUUGAUGAAUCGAAAGAGGAGUGGAAUGAGGUUUGUAGAAAGAUAAUAUGACUAAAUGGUUGUUUUCAAAAAGGGAUGUAUAAGGCAGAGUUGUUAUGUGAUGUUGGCAUGGAUGCAAAACAAACACAUUUAUCCCAUUACAUGGAUUGUUGUGUAUAUGGAGAACUAAGGAAAUUGGAAGUGGUUUUGGAUCUACAUAUUGAUAACUUGGGACUAAACUGUAACAUCCCAAUUUUUAACAAUUUUUUUUAGUAUAGAAAACCUCAAGUGUUAUAAAAACCAAGUCAAUAAAAUCACAAGUAUAUCAAAUACAAUCAUACCAAAUAAGAUUAUCAAAAAUGCGGAAUCAUAAAAACAAUCAACAAGUAGGAGUGUACAGUCAAGUCUGCUCCUUCCCGCGAUCACCAGAAGUAACUGAAACACAUUUAAUCUACAAUUUUAAGCACAAAGAUUAGUGAGUACUUCCUAAAAUAUCCAUACAGUACAACAUAAUAAACUAAUAUGGGUUAUUAGCAACCCUCAGGAUUAUCAGCAAUCCCAAUUGGCUAGCAGUGCGCCCUAUGGAUUAACAACACGUUUCAAGGGUUAUCAACAAUUGUGGGGAUUUUCAUCAAUUCCGAAGUUAUCAGUAAUUUAGUUUAAUUUACAUAUAACAACAAUUAUCAGUUAAUAAUCAGCUCAUCACAGAAAAAAAAUUCCACACAGGUAAAUGCAGUGAGAAGACUCACCUUGCAGGUAGCAGCUAAAACACAACAACUCUCACACGGUGAAGACUGAUACUACAAAACACCUAAACAACAAUAAAUAAGUACCCACUCAGUCUACACCCUAAAACCUCUAAAUUAACCAAACGUUAACCAUGGUCAAAAGUCAACGGUCAAAGUCAACAGUCAAAGGAAACAAUCAACUAUUCCAUUGAUUGAUCCUCACGUCGUGACCAGACCUUGGUCAUGUCGUGAGAAAGCAAGUCCAUCCAGGUCACUAACUCAGUUCCGAUUCAACUCAAUCAUCCUCAAAUCAACACUCACAUCGUGACAAAGCUUUUAUCAUGUCGUUAGAACAUCAAAACAAAAAAGUCCGGGCACCUAGUCUACCCUUACGGCGUGAAGGCCAACCCUUAACGUCGUGAGAACUAUUCUAGCCUCCUAAUUGCAUUAAUUCCUUAUUCGAUUUAGCCAUUCAUUCAUACAUUCCCAAUGGCUUUCCUACUCCAAAUACAAAAUUUAAAAUCGAUGCUUUAUGGACAUGAAUGUCCCUGUGGAUAAACAGUAUGUUACAGAGAUUAUCAACAACCCUAUGGACUUUUAGCCAUCUUGAAGUUAUCAUCAAUUUAACUCAAUUUACAUAUAACAACAAUCGGCAGUUAAGUCCCAACUUGUCACAAAAAAAUACCACACAUGUGAAUGUAGUGAGAAGACCCACCUCAUAGGUAGCAGCUAAAACACAACAACUCUCACGCAGUGAAGAUUGGUACUACAAAAACCUAAAAAUCAAUAAAGAAGUAACCACUCGCUCUAUACCCUAAAACCUCUAAAUUGACCAAAAGUCAACCAUUGUCAAAAGUCAAUGAUCAAAGUCAACAAUUAACUCUUCCAUUGACUAACCCUCACGUCGGGACCAGAUCUUCAUCACGUCAUGAGAAAGCGUGUCCAUCCUGGUCAUUAACUCAGUUCUGAUUCAACUUGAUCAUCGUCAAAUCAACAGUCAUGUCAUAACAGAGCUUCUGUCACAUCGUGAGAACCUCAAAACAAAAUAGUCGAGACACCCAGUCUACCCUUACGUUGUGAAGGACAACCCUUCAAGUCAUGAAAGCUAUUCUGCCCUCCUAAUUGCAUUAAGUCCUUAAUUGAUCCAGUCAUUCAUUCAUACUUUACUAGUGGAUUUCCUACUCCAAAUGCAACAUAAAAAUCGGUGCUUUAUGGAUAUGCAUCUCCCUUUCACUCAAGGUCAUGAACAUGGAAGAAAUGGACCCAAACUUGUACUAGAGAUCCAAAAUCACCAAAAGGACAUAGAUUUGAAACAUACAACUUAAAGGGACCCUAAGGAUCCAUAAAGUUGCCAACUUUAUGGAACCUUGUCAGUCAAAACUUCAUAAACAUAGAGAAAAGGGACAAAUUAAGGAGCUUAGAUCUAGAAGUAUUAACCAUAAAGCUUGAAUCUUGAUGACUUACAAAGGGCCAGAAGGUGAGCAAGGUUGAGUAAAGGAGACUGACUUGAAAGAUCUUGGAACUAAAGGCUUUUUCUUCUUCUUCUAACACUAAAAAUGGCACCUACACUCAAAGAUCAAAAGGAGGCUACAGUUUAUAAGGGAGGUCAAAGGGAGAUGAUGGAGGCUGAGGGUAUGCAAACCCUAGCCCUCACUUCCGUUAAAUAGGUCUUAACUCCCCGAAAUGUAGGGUUUUACAUGUAGGAGAUGCCAUGUCAUGACCUCCAUUAAAGAUGUGAAUUUCUUUUGGCCGCCAUCACGUCGUGACACAACCUUGGUCACGUCGUGAGAAGUCAAAAUCCAAUUGGGGCUUCAAAAAUUUUAAAAUAAAAAUUAAGGUAUAAAUGUUGAAUUAGUGUCUAAGUCCAUAACUAUAAUUGGUAUUUACUUGACCCGAUUUAGCAUGGUCCAUUUGGGUUGCAUAACAUCAGAACAAUUGGAUAGACAAACGAGAAAAGGAUACUUAUGAUUUGUUAAUAUAUUAUAAGUUCUAAUAUAUUAAUAUGAAAUCAUAUUAUUUAAUUAGUAUUGAUCAAAAAUUAAUUUGGAAUUAAUUUUGUGAUCAAAAGAGACUAAUUAAAUAUAUGGGGAUUGAUUAUGUAAAUCAUUCAUUCUUAUAUAGUGGGCUUAUGAUUCAUAGUUCUUCAGGUUGGGCUAAACCCAUGGAGUGAUGCAUGGAUACUCCAUGGAUUUUAAAACCCAUGGAUCAUGAAGAAUAUGAAAAUCAAUGAACAUUAGGGUUUGCAUGCUGUAACCCUACAUGUGGCACACUAUAUAAAGACCCUAUAGGCUAGCAAAAUCGACACUAAGACUUAUCUAGAGGGCUAGCCGAAUUUUGGAGCACAAGUAUCUUCUUCUCAAGUUAUUCUAAUUGUUGUUCGUGUUGUGUGGACCAUUUGAGGUGAAACACUUGGGGCGCUAAGAUCGUAAAGGUUCAAGACUUCAAGCUACACAAAAAGGUAUGUCAUCCAACUAAAAUUUGGUAUUAUAGUUACUCCAUGAUAUACUAGUUAGAAUGAUGCUUUGGAAUAUUGAAUGUAUGCAUGCAUAAUAGAGAAAAUAUAGAUCCAAAGCACAUAGGGUUGCAUGUAAACCGUAGGAGUGUUAGAAUGCUCAAAACCCAAUAGUGGUAUCAAAGCAUGGGGUUGUUUUCAAUUAUACUUGAUGCUACUUAUUGUUUAAGCUUGAAAAAAAUCAAUUUUCUGGGUUCUAGACAGCGAACUCGUUGAGUCCACUGGGUGACUCGCCGAUUCGCAUGAAUUUGCCUUUGACUCUACGAAUCCUCUGAUGGACUCGCCGAGUCCAAGCACAAAAUUGACCAACUCGACGAGUUUGUUCAUGAACUCGACGAGUUGGUGCUCCAGAGUGUAGUUUUUUUGACUUUUAAGGCUUGAAUUGGACUUGGAUCAUUACCCUAAGCUGUUUUUGAACUGAUAAACAUGUUUUUGAUGUGGUAAUGAUCAUACUAAUCCAAUUCAAAAGAUAAUUGUCAAAAGUUUCAUGUUUUGUAUUAGUUUAAUGGUUAGGCUAAUUACAUGAAAAUUGUUUUAUUUGAAUUGUCUUGUUCAUAUGAGUUUAAUCUAGAUCAUGAAUAUUGCUAGAAAUGUUUGUUAGUUUAUUUAGUGGUUUAAAUGGCCUUUAAUGGAUUCCAUAACUUGUCCUCAAGUUAUGGAAAACCAAAAGUUUUUCCUUUAAAAAGUUAUUAAAGUCAUAGGUUAUAAACUUGAAGAGUCUUUUUCCAUAAAUUGUUUUUUGACCUCCAUAAGUUGUCCUCAAGUUAUGGAUUUUCAAGAGUCUCUUCAUUAAAGCUAUAUUAAACUCAUAUGUUAUGGAUUCCAAUUUUUUUGAAUUGUUCAAAACUUGCCCUCAAGUUUAGGAAUUUGUAAAUGUAGAGUCUUCUUUUGACACAUUUAGUUCCAAACCCUAGAAUUUUAAUAGUUUGAAAUUCAACCCUUGUACUAUUAUAAUAUUAUAGGUUUAAUAUUUAUAUAUAUGUAUAAGAGUAAAGUCAGUCUUACCGUUAGUAGGUCUCAUUCACAAAGUCAGUCUCUAAGGGGGGGGGGNAUAAGGGUCCUGCCUAUAAAAUGACAGUUUUAAGGGUGGUCCACUCUCACCCACCGCUUCCUUGAUUGGUGGAGGGUCUUUAGCCGAACAGGUAGGAUAUGACUAUAAUUCUCCUUUCAUUAAAAGUAUAAUGAUAAAUUUAAAGUAACUAAAAUUUAUUGAAUUCCCAAUCUUAGUUACUUUAGAAAAAUGUGAAUUUGGUGCUAACUUGUGAAAUUGCACUUUGCACCCUUGUCAAGUCGUUAGUGGAGCGUGUGUGGUUAACCGACACACUAAUCUGGGACUAACAAUGCGUGGCAAAGGGUAACUUGAUGUUAAUCAUAGAUCAAUGGAGUGUGUGUGGUUAACCGACACACUGAUUGGGUGGUUGUAACAUUGGGUGUACCAAGCUAAUUUGCAUGGUUAUUCACUCCUUGUUUGUGAUCAUCGUCAUCCCAGUGACAAACUUGAAGGGCACAAUCGAGAUUUAAACAUGCCAUUGAAUAGUUCAAUGAAUCUCAAAGGAUCUAGGAGUUUCAAUCCAAUUAAAACUUAAUGAACAAUUUCAUUUUUCAUGGUGGAAAUUGGUAAAUUGUCAUUUACCUACCUUCAAAUAUUUUGUAGCUUAGAUUAUGGCAUCCCUCUUCCAAGUUAUAGAAUAUUGUGUUGGGUCCUAGCCUUAAUAUUUCAUAUUAGGUGCUAUAUUAAGGACUUAAAUCAAUUAACUUGAAUUUCUCCCUUGUAGAUAUCUAGUUCAGAAAACUAUGGUCUACUCAAAUCUCUUGGAACAAGCUUCCCAAUUGAAGAUGAUGUUCCACGAUUGGAUCGUGGAAAUGGAAAUCAUACUUCACUUCCUCCACCUCCUUCAAUUAUUCUCCCUGACCCAUGUGACAACCUAAAUUUUUUAUCUUGUACAGCAAUUCAAUUCAAUCAAAGUCAAACUUGUUUCUGCUAUCUUUUAGCAUUGUUAAGGGUCCGUUGAGUGUUCUAAGCUUAUGCAGCAUUCAGCCGGAAAACUCCAAGUCUUGGAGUUUACGACUGUAAACUAGAGAUUACGGCAGUAAUCUCAUGGCUGGCCGUAAACUCCUCCCAUAUACAUGAUAUUCCUUCAUUUUUCACCACUUCUCACACUUCCAACUCAAGAAACUCGAUUCUCUCUCAACUAUCAUUAAGAACGUUCACCUUGAUCUUCAAAAAUAUAAGCCAUUCUUUCAUUUGAUUAGUUGCUAUCCUUCCUAAUCUAGUAUCACCCUUUGAUUUCAUCCAUGAAAUUCAUCUUUUGGGUAGAUCUUCAAGUAUUCAACACUUUCACCAAGAACACCUACUUGUUCUUGGGCCGUGAACUACUUAGAAUCCUUCAAAAGUGUGAAUAUCUCUUCUAUCUUCUAGUUAGGCUUGAUAAACACAUGAUUCCUAGCCUUAAAACAUCAUAUAUUGCAUGAACAUCAAGAGUUUACGACCGUAAACACUUGCAUGGUUGUAAACCCUUGUUUUGGUGCAUAUAUUGGCCGCAAGCUCAUCUUAAGUCCAAGCCUAGGGCCGUGAACACUUAGUGAAUGCUAGUUAGGGCCCUAAACACCUCAUAAAGUUAUACCCCUUAAUUUACAUUUUAAAUGAUUAUAAAUGCUUUUAUGGGGGAAUAAAAGUUGAAAACAUUAUAGUUAUUAUAUCAAUCACAUGUGAUUAAUGACUAUCAAACAAGUCGAUUUUUUUAUAUACUUCAAAUUGUUUAUCAAACACACUCUUCAAAGAAUUUUAUAAAAUGACAUCAUGUCAUCUGUUACCAUUCAAAUGGUUAAAAUUCCUUUUUAUGUUAAACUCUUUUAAACUUAUAUAUUGUCAAAAUCAUGUCUAUAUGGAAAUAGUUAUAUAAGUAAUGUUGAAAGGACUUAGGACUGAUAACUCACUUUAUUUCAUGUUCCUUGUUUGGUUGUGGACUUAGGGUAUCCGGUUAUUUUUCUAAGUGUCGUUUGAACCUUAGUUAUAUAUUAUGUAUAUGUGUAUGGAUAUAAAAGCUUUUACCUCAGUUCAACACCUUUAGGUAGCAAAGGUGUACAAACAUACUCAGUCAUUCAAACAACAUUACUAGUAAACUAUAAUAGGUAGUUUAGAGGUUUACUACUCACUAUUUCUAGACAAUAAAACAUACAAGAUUCAGUUCAUACAUGAGUCAGUUCAAACAUACUAUAGCAAGAAACAAAAAGAACAUACUAUAAUGAGAAACAGGGAGGAACAUACUAUACACUAUACAAGAGAACAUACUAUACACUAGAACAGAGAGAACAUACAAUAUACUAGAACAUACUAUACAAACACUAGAAUACUAUAACAUUAAUGUGAGCCACUACUUCAUGGCAUGUCAAUCUACUGCUGUGUCACGUUUUGUAACCAGAGUCUCCUGGAGGGAGAUCGUGAAUUUGUGUAUAGAUCUAUACGGGACUGACCGUCCUACACCUUGCUGCUAGCUAUAAUGGGACCUGCAGGUCUACGGGUGACUAAUUUCAUACCAUUUCGACAUCUUUGAUUGUCGUGUUAUACUAGUCAAUCAAGUAUGGUUACAAUCAUAUCACAUUUUACCUUAAUUAACAAUUAGUUUAAGGUAUUUAGUACAAUGGUAGUUACCAGAUACAAUACUACGGUACAUCAUUAUUUUCCCAUUGCAUUCACUUUGUGAUCUUCUCACAUAAUCGGAAAUGUAAACUAUAUUUUGUUAAAGAUAGUCAUAAUUGGGAAAAACACACAGUUUUACAAACAAACUACAUAUAGAACAUUCAGGUCUUGGUAGAAGGCUACAUUUAAAGUAGAAGAUAUAGGAUUUUCUAGGAGAUACAUCAAUUACAUCAAACUCUUACGAACUUUUACAACGAAUAUUUACAACAAACAUUUACAAACACUUUCAUUCAAUCAAUGAUACUAAAAUACUUAUGAACUCACCAGCUUUAAUGCUGAUCAGCUCUUUCAAAAAACUUGGAUUCUCAGGUCACCAGUAGAUAGGUACCAAUGACCAGGUUUUGAGAAGAUGGAGCUUUCAGGACUCGUCUUUAUUUUGAUUAUUCAUUUUUGUUGUCUUAUAACUAUACACAAAACACACUUGUAUUAAAUUAUAUUAUUAAUGCAAUGGAUGAUGUUGUUGCUUGUUUACUAUUAUGCAUUGUUGUGAUACUGUACAUGACGUCCUCCGCCCCAGAACGUUUCCGCCGUUCCAAUUUUGGGGUGUGACAGAUUGGUAUCAGAGGUUUGUUUAUAGUGAAUUGAGUAUAUCAACCCAUAAAAGAUAUACAAACUAUAAACACAUCGGGAUUAAAAUACUCUGACUAAGAGUUUAUAAUUUUAAAUAAUAAAAUAUUUAACCAAAGUAUACGUACCUGCAUUCAUACUAAAAUCAGUGUCACUAGGACAAAACAAAAAUAUUGUGAUUGUUGGGCAGCACAAGUAGGCUUGGGGACAUAUAAUCAGAUAUGAGAAUGAUAUAGCCUGAUCAACUAUAUCUUUUCGAGAAGUGAUUAGCAUGUGCCUAGGAAUGGUUGUGGUGUUGCUGCAAGUCUAAAAACUUACCAACACUACUACAAUGAAAACAUUAUAACGGAACAUAAACUUAAAAUACUAUAAGAGUAUUUUGUGUUACUAUAAUUACUUAUUUGAGUACUAAAGGUCUUUAUUAGUAGGUCAAUAGUUGCUAGGUGGAUAUGCUAAGGUUAUAUGUGACUGAGGUGUCAUAGACUUAGAAUCUGUGAUCGUUGCCUUACUUCAUGUUCCUUGUUUGGUUGUGGAUUUGGAGUUAGGGUCACUUAUUCGAAGGUCUAUCCUGUUUUGAUUACAUGUAACUAGUAUGCACUAUGCAAGUAUUGAAGUAACUGAUAAAGAUCAUCCUAUAAUUAUCUUAAUUAGUACCUCUAUUAAUUAUUUCUUUUACCCUUAUUCUCGUAUAGAUAACAUGGAUGGAUUCAAUCUCCCUGGCGACCCGUACUUUCUCAACCAAGGUAACAGUGGAUGGCUCGAUGAAGAGCCAGAAGAGUAUCAUCCAAUGCCUUUGGAAGAUGGCUUCACAUAGAACUUCCCGGAGGAUUCUGAAUCCGAGCCAGAAGUCAAUGACCUACCCCUGGUAGCUCCAAUCCCAAAUCCUAACCCUCGUCCGGCUUUUCAAGGCCCGACGCCUCUAUGGGCGAAAAACUUGGGUAGAUGGAGUCAAGAACAGGGAGAACCUAUACCAUACGACGGAGACAGAAGCUUCUACAACCUGAGUGAGGGAGGCUCAGCAGACAGAGUCCUGCCUAUCCUGGUCCGCAGGGUUGCUCGUAAUGAAGAGCAGGGUAGGACAGCCAUCAACCGAAUCAUGGAGGUUGAUGCAAAUGCGGGAGUUAAUACAGUCCACAUCAUUUUUCUUGAAGAUGCUCGUGAGAGGUCGAUGAGAGACAACGAGGCUCUGCAGCAAGAACUAGCUGCAACUCGAGCUGAAGUCAUAGAGCUCCGAGCACGCCAAAGGGUAUAUGAACGACACCUCCUUGAUGUGGAGCGUCAGCUGGCAAGUUUGAGGGUUCACCGGAGGGGUACCCGUCGCUAGUAGAAGAUGCUCUAAUCAUCAUUUCAUUUGGUUUAAGGAAUAGCCUUCUUAUCUAUGCUCUAAGUAGCACUUUUCCCUGUAAAUAUUCAUAUCUUUCUAGUACUGUUGCUAGGUCCCUAUGUUGUCAAAAUUUUCUAAUUUUGAUUUGAUGUAAGACCUACUUCUAGGUCAUUUUUCCCAAACUUGUUACAUCAUUAAUUCCAAUAUUAUUGACAGUUAUAUAAUCUUUUGGAAAUCCAUAUCCAAGUGCUUUCAUCAUUCUACUGCUAGAUCUCUAUAUCAAUCAUACUCUCAUUUGUUUUGUUAGACUAUGGAGAGUUAGUCCAUGGAUCACUUUCAUUACACUUGCAAUUGAUUCUUAUUAUCAUCUUCAUCUUUGUAAACUUAUAGUUGAAAGAUGCCUCUAUGCCGAACACUGAGACGUAAUUCUCCAUUAACUCCUACUCAACCAACUCCACCUCCUCCAUGAUAUAAUUCGGCAGCACUCCAAGCUGCAGUGGUUGCAGCUGUUUUGGCAGCCUUAGCCUAAUUCAAUGCUAGUGGUACUAGCGGGAGUGGAACAACAGUUCAUUACACUCAACGUAAUGCUCCAAUGCGCUCUAGGGAGUGCUCGUACAAGGACUUCACCAACUGCAAGCCCAGGUCCUUCAAUAGGACUGGUGGAAUCAUUGCCCUCUCGCAAUGGUUCGAGAAGGCGGAAUCGAUCUUUGAGAUCUGUUCUUGUCCGGAAGGAAGCAAACUUAAAUUUGAUGUCUGGACCUUCGCAAAUAGAGCUUUGACGUGGUGGAAUAGCCAUGUCAAGUCACUAACUCUAAUAGUAGCUAAUGCUAUGGGCUGGGAAGCUCUGAAGGAGCUUAUGAUAGAAGAGUAUUGCCCAAGGGCUGAGGUUCAGAAACUUGCACAGGAACUCUGGAGCUUAACCAUGAAGGGCUCCGACAUAGUGGCCUAUACUGCCAGAUUCAGCAAUUUGGUGGCACUAUGUCUGGGAAUGGUCCCUAUUGAGGGAAAGAAGAUAAAGAGGUAUAUAUGGGGGCUAGUGCCUCCAUUUCAGGGGAAUGUCUUAGCUUCAAACCCCACUACCUUCGACAAUGCCAAACGGCUGGCACAACGGCUCAUAGAUCAUGGAGUCCGCAUCCAGACAACGACAACAACCCUGGUUAUCCCAGAACCCUCCAAGGCCACUGACAACAAGCGGAAGUUGUUGGAUAACAAGAAGAAGAACGCGGCGUAGAACCCUUCCAAGAAGCAACAGGUCAUGGCUGUUCAUGAUGCGAUAACACAUAUUGCUAUUGCGCCAAUGAAGUAGUAUGCUGGGAGCUUGCCCAAGUGCAACAAGUGUAACUUCCAUCACAACGGACCCUAUUGGGAAAUGUAGUGAGCUAACUACAAUAGGAAAGGGCACACAUCCUGUUUCUACAAGGCUUCGGCAAGGCCAAUCACCCAAGUCCCCGACAUUGGUGUGGAUCAUGCUUGCUACGGAUGUGGCAAGGUGGGUCACUACAAGAGGAACUGAUCGAAGGCAGGGAACGCUGGUGGAGUGGGAAGAGUUUUGGCUAUAGGCCAUGAGGAAGCGAUUUCCGACCCCACAGUGGUCACUGGUACGUUUCUCCUCGAUAACUCAUAUGCAUGCAUACUGUUUGAUAGUGGAGCAGAGAGGAGUUUCGUGAAUCAGAAAUUUGCUCACUUACUUAAACAAAAUCCACAUGCACUUAAAGAACUGUUCAUAGUAGAAAUGGCAAACAGAAAGAUAGAGAGCACUAACAGUAUAUACAUAGGAUGUACUCUAACUCUAGAUAGCCAUUCAUUUCCAAUUGACCUCAUGCCGGUCUCAAUUAAAAGUUUCGACGUCAUUAUCGGCAUGGAUUGGUUGAGCCUUCAUCGUGCCGACAUCAUGUAUUAUGAAAAGGUCAUUCGCCUUAAUCUGCCGUUAAGCGAAACCCUAGUUAUCUAUGGCGACAAACCCGACACGAACCUUCGCAUCAUCUCGAGCAUACAAGCCCAGAAAUACGUGCGAAAGGAAUGUCAUGCAUUCCUUGCUCAUGUUGUCGAUAUGAGCCAAGAGUCAAAAGAUAUAAAUAACAUCCCAAAAGUAUGAGACUUUCCCGACAUCUUUCCAGAAGAACUCCUAGAAUUACCUCCACAGCGUCAAGUCGAGAUCAAAAUCGACUUAGUUCCAUGGGCUACCGCAGUAGCCAAAUCGCCCAAUCGUCUAGCACCAGCUGAGAUGUAGGAGCUAUCCGAUCAACUUAAUGAACUGCUCAACAAAGGCUUUAUUAGACCAAGAUUCUCACCCUGGGGAGCUCCGGUCUUGUUUGUGAAGAAGAAAGACGGAUCGUUCCGUAUGUACAUUAACUAUAGAGAACUGAACAAGCUUACUGUCAAGAAUCGUUACCCUCUACCUCGCAUAGACGAUUUGUUCGAUCAACUCCAAGGGGCGAAUUACUUUUCAAAGAUAGAUCUAAGAUCCGGGUAUCACCAGGAGGAUGUUCCCAAGACAGCCUUCCGAACUCGUUAUGGACACUACGAGUUUGUAGUGAUGCCAUUCGGAUUGACUAAUGCGCCCGCAAUAUUCAUGGAGUUAAUGAAUAGGGUAUGCCGUCCUUACAUGGAUCAGUUCGUCAUUGUGUUCAUUGAUGAUAUACUUAUCUACUCUCGUAGUAAGGAAGAGCAUAGUAAGCAUCUACAUCAAAUCUUGGAAACUUUACGAUCAGAGAAGCUCUAUGCAAAGUUCUCAAAGUGCGAGUUUUGGAUUCGAAGAGUCGAAUUCUUGGGUCACGUUGUUAGUGAAGAGGGAAUUCAUGUGGACCCUUCCAAAAUAAAGGCCAUUGAGAACUGGUCAGCACCGAAGACGCCUACAGAAAUUCGUCAAUUUCUAGGCCUCGCUGGCUACUAUCACAGGUUCAUUCAGAACUUCUCUGGGAUCGCGAAACCACUCACUACAUUGACCCAGAAAGGCGUGGCCUUUGACUGGGAAGAGAAACAAGAGAAAGUGUUCCAAAUGCUAAAGUGAGCCUUAUGCAGCGCACUGAUACUAUCCCUCCCAGAAGGGAUAGAAGACUUCGUGGUUUAUUGCGAUGCAUCCAACCAAGGGCUUGGCUUUGUUCUGAUGCAACGAGGUAAGGUCAUCGCAUAUGCCUCAAGACAGCUAAAGACACACGAGGUCAACUACACUACCCAUGAUCUUGAGUUAGGAGCAGUUGUAUUUGCUAUGAAGAUAUGGAGACACUACCUGUAUGGUACAAAAAGCACUAUCUUUACAGACCACAAAAGCCUUCAACAUAUAUUUGACCAGAAGGAGCUCAAUAUGAGACAACAACAGUGGGUCGAGCUACUCAAUGACUACGAAUGCGAAGUUCGUUAUCAUCCCGGUAAAGCCAAUGUAGUAGCUGACGCCCUAAGUCGGAAAGAAUACUCUGGUCGUAGAGUCAAAUGAUUGACUAUGACUAUCCAUUCACACUUAUCUACACAAAUUAAGGAAGCUCAUCUUGAAGCCUUCAAACUUGAAAAUGUGGCGCGUGAAUCCCUUAGAGGGAUGGAUAAAAACUUGGAAGUCAAGGGUGGCGGAGCCUUAUAUCUCAUGGAUUGGAUCUAGACACCACGUCACGGUGGUUUUAGAGACUUGGUCAUGAACGAAGCACACAACACUAGAUAUUCCGUCCACCCAGGUUCAGAUAAGAUGUAUCUGGAUCUUAAAAAGUUAUACUUGUGGCCUAACAUGAAAGUAGAGAUUGCUACCUUCGUGAGCAAGUUCCUUACUUGCGCCAAGGUUAAGGUCGAAUACUAGAAACCAUCAGGUUUACUUUAACAACCGGAGAUACCGGAAUGGAAAUGGGAGCGGAUCACAAUGGACUUCAUAACCAAGUUGCCUAAGACUACGUGUGGUCUCGAUACCAUAUGGGUGAUCAUAGACAGGUUAACCAAGUCCACACACUUGCUGCCUAUCAAAGAAACUGACAAGAUGGAGAAACUAACUAGAACUUACAUUAGGGAGAUUGUCUGACUGCAUGGUGUUCCCAUAUCCAUUAUCUCUGAUAGAGAUAGUAGAUUCACUUCAAGGUUCUGGCAGUCACUGCAAAGUUCCCUAGGAACUAGGCUGGACAUGAAUACAGCCUACCAUCCGCAAACCGAUGGAAAAAGUGAGAGGAUUAUUCAAACUUCAGAAGAUAUGUUGUGAGCCUCUGUGAUUAAAUUUCGAAAGGCAUGGGAUACUCAUUUACCCCUUGUCGAGUUCUCCUACAAUAAUAGUUAUUACACGAGCAUAAAGGCUGCUCCAUUUGAAGCCCUCUAUGGCCGGAAGUACAGAUCCCCUCUAUGCUGGGCUGAGGUGGGUGACACGCAGUUAGCUAAAGGACGCAUUCCUGACAUCACUCUCACAGGUCCUGAAGUCAUUCGGGAAACGACAAAGAAGAUCAUUCAAAUACGUGAAUGAUUAAAAGCCUCUAGAGACCGACAAAAAAACUACGCAGACAAAAGAAGAAAACCUUUGGAAUUCCAGGUUGGUGACCAUGUUCUAUUGAAGGUCUCACCCUGGAAGGGAUUGAUACGCUUCGGAAAUCGUGGAAAGCUAAAUCCAAGAUACUUAGGGCCUUUCGAGAUUAUCGCUAGAAUUGGUCAUGUAGCUUACAAACUCAAAUUACCUCGCAGCUUAGUAACGUACAUUCUACUUUCCAUGUCUCGAACUUGAAAAAGUGUCUGUCCGACGAGACUCUUGUAAUCCCACUCGAUGAGAUCGAUAUCAACGAGAGUCUUAACUUCGUGGAAGAACCAGUAGAGAUCAUGGACCGAGAGGUUAAGCGAACGAAGCAAAGCCGUAUCCCGAUAGUGAAGGUUCGCUGGAAUGCCAAGCGGGGACCUGAAUUCACUUAUGAGCGUAAGAAUCAAAUGAAACUGAAAUAUCCUCAUCUUUUCUCUUAGCUAUUUGUAAUUGGUUAAUCUCUAAUUUUGGGACAAAAUUCUCUCUCACGGGGGGAUGAUGUGACAACCCAAAAUUUCUAUCUUAUACAACCAUUCAAUUCAAUCAAAUUCAGACUUGUUUCUACUAUCUUUUAGCAUUGUUAAGGGUCUAUUUGAAUGUUCUAAGCCUAGUACAUUCAAGUAUUAGGUGUUAGGAAGUAUCUGCUAGAGUUCAUUGUGCAACAUUCAGCCGGAAAACUCCAAGUCUUGGAGUUUAUGACCGUAAACUAGAGAUUACGGUCCUAAUCUCUUGGCUAGCUGUAAACUCCUCCCAUAUACAUGAUAUUCCUUCAAUUUCACCACUUCUCACACUUCCAACUCAAGAAACUCGAUUCUCUCUCAACUAUCAUCAAGAACAUUCACCUUGAUCUUCAAAAAUGUAAGCCAUUCUUCCAUUUGAUUAGUUUUUAUCCUUCCUAAUCUAGUAUCGCCCUUUGAUUUCAUCCAUGAAAUUCAUCUUUUGGGUAGAUCUUCAAGUAUUCAGCACUUUCACCAAGAAUACCAAGAACACCUACUUGUUCUUGGGACAUGAACUACUUAGAAGCCUUCAAAAGUGUGAGUAUCUCUUCUAUCUUCUAGUUAGUCUUGAUAAACACAUGAUUCCUAGCCUUAAAACAUCAUAUAUUACAUGAACAUCAAGAGUUUACGGCCGUAAACCCUUGCAUGGCCGUAAACCCUUGUUUUGGUGCAUAUAUUGGCCACAAACUCAUCUUAAGUCCUAGCCUAGGGCCGUGAACUCUUAGUGAAUGCUAGUUAGGGCCCUAAACACCUCAUAAAGUCAUGCUCUAUGGCCGUAAACUCCCCUUGGUCAUAAACACCAAAGGUGUGGCUAUAAACUCCAAUGUGUGGCCGUAAGCUCCAUUUGAUUCAAUCAUAGUUGAUUAAAACACUUCAAUCCAAGUGUUUCCUAGUCCCUAAAGUGGUUUCCUUUCAUGAUUAGUUGUAUAUAUACUAAUUAUAUACAUAUAUGUAUCAUUAUAUGCUUAAUAGGAUCCGUUUGUGCUCGAGGCUACACUUGACACUUAGCUUCCUAUAUCGAUCUUACAUUCGUAUCACUCACUACACGUGAGUUCAUACCCCUUAAUCUACAUUUUAAAUGAUUAUAAAUGCUUUUAUGGGGGAAUAAAAGUUGAAAACAUUAUAGUUAUUAUAUCAAUCAUAUGUGAUUAAUGACUAUCAAACAAGUGGAUUUUUUAUAUACUUCAAAUUGUUUAUGUGACAACUCGAAAUUUAUUCCGUUGCGGUAUCCCAUUUCCGUUAAAAGAACACUUUAUUUUAUUAUUAUUAUUAAGAUUUCCGUUAACAUUAGGGUUAGACAAAUCAAAUAAUGAUUUAUUUUAUUUUAGUGUCGAAAUGAAAUAAAUAAAAACACGUGUAAUACCCUCAAAUUUAUUUGGGAUAAAUUUUUAGUUUACAAAUAAGCCGGAUUACAACCAUUUAAUCUGGUAAAAAUUUAAACCCCAUUUAACGUCAGUAUCGGGUAGAUUCCCACCUGGCCACAAACCCAGCCCCUAUAUAAGGGUUGAGUGGGCACUAAAUGGAACUUUUUACCACUCUAGUCACUCACUCUCUCUCUCUCUCUCUACUCUCUCUCUUCAAGACUCGAUUUUUCCAAAAAUCCGCAAGUUUUAGCUCCCAAACUGUAAGUUCUCUUACCCUAGAUUGUUCUAAAACUCAUUACAUAUAUUUAUAGCUUGAAAAUCAUCCAAGAAGGCCAAGAAUAAGGAGUUUACGGCCCAAGAACCCUCUUAGGCCGUAAACCACUAAAAAUGUGCCAAAAAUGCCCCAAAUCCCCUCCUUAGGCUUAGAGACUAGCUUAGAACAUAACCUUGAAGUGUUUUAGACAUUAAACACCAAGUUUGGAGGCUUGAAAGAGGGUUUACGGCCUAAGAACAUUCUUAGGCCUUAAACUCCCUCAAACUAUGCAAAUCAAGCCCUAAACCCCCUAUUUAGCCUUAUACCUUCACCUAGAAACAUGUAGAAGUGAGCUAAGGACCUCAAAAUCGAAGUAUAAGGUAUGUCUAAGGGUUUGCGGCCGCAAACCAUAGAGUUUACGACCGUAAACUCCCAAGGAGUGGUCCUAGGACCGCAAACUCCAAGGGAGUGCCCCUUGUGAACCCUAAACACCCCUCAAGCCUUGGAAUUGAACUUAGAAUCCUUCCUAGUGAUACUAGAGACAUUAAGGCACACGAAUACACUCCUCCCAUGAGUUUACGGCCGUAAAAUCAUGGGGGAAAGGGUCCCUCAACCGUAAACUCACCUAAGGUGGGUAUUUGAGGAGUAAACUCCAUAGUGAGGUCAUAUACUCCUUAGAUACAACCCAAUAGCCUCCUAGCACUUAACCAAAGUGUUUUUCUUCGCUUUAGGAUGCCUAUACGUGUUAAAUUAGUGUUUUAAUCACUAAUUAUAUGUAAAAAUAUGUCUUCAUAUGUUACUAGGGUCGUAGAGUGUGUUCAAGUCUUAACUUGACACCAAACACUCAACCGAGACUUUCAUCCGAUCCACUCGCUACAUGUGAGUUCAUACCCCUUAAUUAACCAUUCUAAUGUUUCUUUUAAAUGUUUUAGGGGGGGGGGGAUACAAGUAGAAUCAUGCUAGUUAUUAUAUCAAUCACAUGUGAUUAAUAAGCAGCAUAUAAAUGAUUUGNAAAAGGAUUUUUCUAUACUUUUAGCUACUUGUCAACAAAACUGUUUUAAAUAAUUAUCAACGAAUUUUCUAUGUUUAAUUGAUAUUAAACUAUUUUCAAACUGUCUUUAAACUACUUUUUUUAAAACUAUAUCUACAACAAUAUAUCUAUAUAAAUAAGACUUGAAGGACUUAGGACCGAUAGCUCGCCUUACUUCCUGUUCUUGUUUGAUUAGGGUCUUAGGGUAUACUGUUAUCCGUCCGACUGUCGUUGAAUUCUUGGUUAUAUAUCAUAUAUAUUUGUGUUAGAUAUGAAAGUCUUCAUUUUUUUCAUUACCUUUGUAAAUCUAAGGCAUGCAAUCCCACACUCUAUUUAACUAUAAUAGGUAUAGUUAAGACUACUGCUCAUUUCCUCUAUCAUUAUGAUACUCACUAUAAUUACUACUAUUACGAGUAAUGCAUGUUAAAGAGAACACUCUAUAUACUAUACUAAAAAGUUCAUUAUACUAUGAUACAAGAGAAUACAAUAAUCCAGAAUGUCACACACUAUCCCUCUAUACGACACUCUACUGUGCAAACACCGUGUAACCAGAGCUUCCCGAAGGGAAAGCAACCACUACAUGUAUAGAUCUAUACAUGACAGACACUAUUACAACCCGNNNNNNNNNNNNNNNNNNNNNNNNNNNNNNNNNNNNNNNNNNNNNNNNNNNNNNNNNNNNNNNNNUCUACUAUCACUAAGAUUGGUUACAUGAGAAAUUACAUUCGUACCCAAAUUAACACACUAAGAAUUAAAGGCUAAACUAACUUCCCGAAGUGAAUAUAUAUACAUAUAUUACUAAAUUGAAGUUUGUAACACUACUAUAUCCAGCCGGCAGUAAAACUGCUAAAAUAAGAUAUUAUCUUUUCUCAUUUACUUUACAUGAAUGAAGUCUAUAAUCUUAUUUUCAUGAUUAACAGUCUCAAUGGGAAAACUUUUACACACUCAAAGGAUCAAACUUACAAAUAUGCACAUCUGGAAAAUAUAGGAUUUUCAAGGGAUUUUACUAUUUUCAAACAUUAAUCACAACUUUACAUUACAAGAUUGUAAACACUUUUAUACAAGCAACGAAACUAAAUUCUUAUGAACUCACCAACUUUAUGCUGAUACUCGUUUUCAAAAUAACUUGUAUUCUCAGGUCGGCAAUAGAUAGGUACAGAUGCAGUUUUUGAGAAGACGGAGCCUAUACAAGACUCGUCUUUAUUUUUUAUUAUACUUUUGGUGUCUAACAAAAUGUACAGAACACGUUUGUAUUACAAUUACUAUAUUAAUGCAAUGGAUGUUGUUGCUUGUUUUUACUAUUAUGCAUUGUUAUGAUACUGUACAUGACAUCCUCCACCCCAGAACGUAUUCCGCCGUUCUCGGUUUUGGGGUGUGACAGAUUGGUAUCAUAGCAUUGUUUAUAGUGAAUCAAGUAUAUCAACCCAUAAAAGAUAUACUAACUAUAAACACUUCGGGACUAAAACACUCUGACCAAGAAUAUAUACUUUUAAAUGCUAAAAUGUUUAAUUAAGUAUAUAAAUACAUUCACCAAUACAAAGGGUCAGCAUCAUACUAGAACAGAACAAAAGUAUUAAGAUUGUUGAACAACACAAUUAGGCUUAGAGACAUAUAGUCACACCUGGGUGCAUGUAGCCUGAUCAACUACAUUUUUCUAGGAGUGACUAGCGUGUGCCUAAGACUGAUUAUGGUGUUGCAACAAGUCUAAAAACUUACCAACACUACCACAAGAACGUUAGAACAAGAAUACUAUAGGAGUACUCUGCAUUCUACUAACCACAUAUGUGAUAACUAAAAGGGUCGUUACUAGUAGGGAAAUACUUGCUAAGUGGAUACACCACGGUUACAUGUGACUAGGGCACUAUAGACUUAGAAUAUGUGACCAUUGCUUCAUUUCCUGUUCUUGUUUGAUUGGGGAUCUGGAGUUAGGGUCGCUUAUUCGAAGAACUAUCUUGCUUCGGUUACAUGUAAUUGGUAUGCACUAUGCAAGUAUUGGGUCGACUAAUAACGACCAUCUUAUAAGUAUCCUAGAUUAGUACGUCUAUUAACCUUUCUUACCCCAUUCUCACGUAGAUAGCAUGGCUGGCUUUCACCUUCCCGGCGAUCCAUAUUAUCCGAACCAAGGCAAUGAAGGAUGGCUCGAAGAGGAGCCAGAAGAUGAUCACCCGAUCCCUUUGGAUGAUCACCAUGCAGAAGGCUUUUCGGAUAACUCCGACUCCGAGCCAGAAGUCAACAACCUGCCCCCAGUAGCUCCAAACCCUAACCCUCGUCCGGCAUUUCAAGGUCCCACUCCCAUGUGGGCAAUAACCUUGAACCGAUGGAGCGAUGAGUAGGGUCAACCUGUACCUUUCAACAGGGACGAAAGCUUCUACAACAUAAGCGAGGGAGGUUCAGCGGACCGAGUCUUGCCCAUCAUGGUCCGAAGGAUUGCCAGGAACGUCAAGCAAGGUCAAGCAACUAUUGGCCGAGUUGUGGAAGUUGAUGCCAACUCUAACCUCGACACUAUUCGCAUCCGCCAACUAGAAGAAGUUAUGGAUAGGACGAGGAGGACCAAUGAGGCUCUGCAGCAACAACUAGCUGCAUCCUAAGCCGAAGUCAGGGAACUCCAGGCGCGUCAAAGAGCACAAGAAAGACAUCUUCAAGAAGUUAUGCGCCAACUGGCUGAUCUUAGGGUUCGCCCAAGGGAUACCCGUCACCAGUAGAAGAUGUCCACUUAUCUCCCUCUUUUGUUUAAGGAAUAGCCUUUUCUUUUCUAUGCUCGGUGGAGCACUUGUCUGUAAACAUUCCUAAUUUUGAAAGUACUCUAAUUAGGCCUCUAGAUUGCCAACAUUUUCCAUUAUGGUUUGAUGUAAGACCUACUGUUAGGUCACUUUUCCCAAACUCAUAUUACAUCAUUAAUACCAGUAAAGUUGGCGGUUAUGUACUCUGUUGCUAUGACUCUCUCUGAUUUAUGGGCUAUGUUGACUUAGUCCAUGAAACACUCUUAUCAUACUUGCAAUAGACUCUUAUUAUUGCUAUCAUUUCUAUGAACUUUCAGUAAAAGAUGCCUCCUCGCAAGCGCCCAAAUAGAGGCAGACCUGCGACUCAAACCCCACCUCCACCUCCUCCUCCGCAGUUCGAUCCAGUGUUGUUUCAAACAACUGUGACCGUAGCCAUGGCCCAAAUGAAUUUGGGCGAUGCUAGUGGAGCCGGAAUGGGCACCAACUCCAAACAUGGUGAAAUCCAUACACGUACACAAGGGUGUACUUAUAAGGAUUUCAUGAACUGUAAACCAACAUUCUUCAAUGGGACCGGAGGAAUCUUUGCUCUGUCCCUAUGGAUCGAAAGGACUGAAGCUGUCUUCGAAAUGUGCUCAUGCCCCGAAGAAAGCAAAAUAAAGUUCAUUGCUGCUACUUUCACUGAAAGGGCCUUGACAUGGUGGAAUGGUCAUGUCAAAUCACACUCCUUGGUAACAGCCAACGCCAUGGGCUGGGACACACUGAAGGACCUAUUGAUGAGGGAGUACUGCCCUAGGGGCGAAGUUCAGAAACUCGAAGAAGAACUCUGUAACCUCAAGAUGAAGGGGACAGACAUAGGGGCUUAUACGGCCAGGUUCUGCGAGUUGGUAACUAUGUGUCCUAACAUGAUCCCCUCUGAAAGCAAGAAAUUGAACGGUACAUCUGGGGUUUAGUGCCCCCGUAUCGAGGAAACGUUCUAUCUUCACAUCUGACAACCUUUGACAGUGCCAAGGAAUUGGCCCAUAGGUUGAUCGAUCAUGAAACUCCAUCCACUCCAUCAACAUCAACAACAACUGCCACUGCACAACCCAAGACAUCCGACAACAAGAGGAAGCAGUGGGACAAAAAGAAGGACAAGAAAGCUCAAUCCUCUUCCAAAAACCAACAGAUAGUGGCUGUCCAUGCUGCCACCACUCUUUCUACCCCUGUACCAACAAAAACCUAUGUUGGAAACCUGCCCAAGUGCCCCUUCCAUCACAACGGCCCCUGCCAUGAAUUGCACUGCACCAACUGCGACCAGAAGGGCCAUACCGUCCGGUUUUGCAGAUCCCAACCCAAACCUAUCUCUCAAGUCCCCAGCUCGGGAGUGAGCCAAGCCUGCUAUGGCUGUGGUGAGGUAGGUCAUUUCAAGAAAAACUGUCCGAAGACCGGGAAUACAGGAGGAACGGGAAGACUACUUGCUAUUGGCCACAAUGAAGCAGUAGCGGACCCCACAGUAGUCACGGGUACGUUCCUUCUCAACAACUCUUAUGCUUGUGUCUUAUUCGAUAGUGGUGCAGAAAGAAGCUUCAUAAACCAAAACUUUAAACACUUACUUAAGCAAUCCCCUCAACCACUAAAAGAAACAUUCGUCAUAGAAAUGGCUAACGGAAAGAUAGAGAGCUCUAAUGAAAUUUACAUAGGUUGUACCCUCACGCUGGAUGAUCAUUCAUUUCCAAUCGACCUCAUACCAGCUCGAUCAAGAGUCUCGAUGUCAUUGUGGGCAUGGACUAGUUGAGUCUCCAUCGUGCUGAUAUCCUAUGAUUCGACAAAGCCAUCCAUCUAAAUCUACCGAAUAGCGAAACACUGUUAAUCUAUGGAGACAAACCCAGUACGAGCCUUCGUAUCAUCUCAAGUAUUCAAGCUCAAAAGUACUUACGUAAGGAAUAUCGCGAAUUCCUUGCACACGUCGUUGACACGAGCCAGAAACCGAAAGAUCUAAAGUACUUCCCUGUCGUAUGCGAUUUCCCCGACGUCUUUCCAGAGGAACUCCCAGGUUUACCUCCCAAACGUCAAGUUAAGUUCAGAAUCGAUAUAAUUCCAGGGGCUACCCCUGUAGCUAAAUCGCCCUAUUGUCUAGCGCCUGCUGAAAUGCAAGAACUGUCUAGUCAACUUAAUGAGCUGCUCAGCAAGGGCUUUAUAAGACCAAGCUCCUCACCAUGGGGAGCACCGGUCUUGUUCCUAAAGAAGAAGGACAUAUCAUUCCGUAUGUGCAUCGAUUAUAGAGAACUCAACAAGCUGACGGUCAAGAAUUGCUACCCUCUUCCACGUAUGGACAACCUAUUCGACCAACUGCAAGGGGCGAGUUACAUUUCCAAGAUUGAUCUUAGGUCCGGGUAUCACCAGUUACGAGUGCUUGAGGAGGAUGUUCCGAAAACAGCCUUCCGAACUCGUUACAGACACUACGAGUUCGUAGUAAUGCCGUUCGGACUGACCAACGCGCCCUCAAUAUUCAUGGAUUUAAUGAAUAGGGUGUGUCGUCCUUACUUGGAUCAGUUCGUCAUCGUCUUCAUUGAUGACAUACUCAUCUACUCUCGAAGUAAGGAGGAGCAUAGCCAUCACCUACGACAAAUCCUAGAAACCCUACGAUCAGAAAAGCUAUAUGCGAAAUUCUCGAAGUGCGAAUUAUGGAUCCGAAGAGUCGAAUUCUUAGGACACGUGGUUAGCGAGGAAGGAAUUCACGUGGACCCAUCCAAGAUUAAAGCUAUCAAGAACUGGUUAGAACCGAAGACGCCUACAGAAAUUCGUCAAUUUUUAGGCGUCGCUGGCUACUACCGCGGAUUCAUUCAGAACUUCUCUCGGAUUGCGAAACCUCUCACCACAUUGACUCGGAAAGGCGUGACAUUUGACUGGGGAGAGAAAUAGGAGAAGGCAUUCCAAACCCUGAAGUGAGCCCUAUGCACCGCACCGAUAUUAUCCCUUCCUGAAGGGAUAGAAGAUUUCGUAGUAUACUGCAAUGCAUCAAACCAAGGGCUUGGUUGUGUUCUGAUGCAACGAGGUAAGGUCAUUGCUUACGCCUCAAGACAGCUGAAGACACAUGAGGUCAACUACACCACGCACGACCUCGAAUUAGGAGCGGUUGUGUUCGCCCUAAAGAUUUGGAGACAUUAUAUGUACGGUACGGAGAGCACGAUAUACACCGACCACAAAAGUCUACAACACAUAUUCAACCAGAAGGAGUUCAACAUGAGACAACGACGGUGGGUCGAGCUACUCAAUGAUUACGAAUGCGAAAUUCGCUAUCAUCCGGGUAAAGACAAUGUGGUAGCGGACGCCCUAAGCAGGAAAUAACAUUUUGGUCGAAGAGUCAAGUCGUUAACGAUGACUAUCCACUCGUAUCUUUCAUCACAGAUUAAGGAAGCUCAACUUGAAGCUUUGAAGCCUGAAUAUGUGACAGGAGAAUCCCUACGAGGAAUGGAUAAGAACUUGGAGGUCAAGGGUGACGGAGCCUUAUAUCUCAUGGACCGAAUCUGGACACCGCGACACGGUGGCUUCAGAGACUUAGUCAUGAAGGAAGCACACAACACCCGAUAUUCCGUUCACCCAGGUUCAGAUAAGAUGUAUCUGGACCUCAAGAAGUCAUAUCGGUGGCCUAACAUGAAAGCGGAGAUUGCUACCUUCGUGAGUAAAUGCCUUACUUGCGCAAAGGUUAAGGUCGAAUACCAAAAGCCAUCAGGUCUUCUACAACAACCGGAGGUACCAGAGUGGAAGUGGGAGCGGAUCACUAUGGAUUUCAUAACUAAGCUACCCAAGACAACGAGUGGGCUGGACACCAUAUGGGUCAUCGUCGACAGAUUGACCAAGUCCGCGAACUUCCUACCCAUCAAAGAAUCAGACAAGAUGGAGAAACUCACAAGGACAUACAUUAAGGAGAUCGUACGACUGCAUGGUGUCCCUAUAUCUAUAAUCUCCGAUAGAGACAGCAGAUUCACUUCGAGAUUUUGGCAAUCACUACAAAACGCCUUAGGGACGAGGCUAGACAUGAGUACAGCCUACCAUCCGUAGACCGACAGACAAAGUGAGAGGACUAUCCAAACCCUAGAGGAUAUGUUGCGAGCUUGUGUGAUCGACUUUGGUAAGGCAUGGGAUACCCACUUACCCCUUUUCGAGUUUUCCUACAAAAAUAGCUAUCACACGAGCAUCAAAGCAACUCCAUUCGAAGCCCUCUACGGCCGAAAGUGCAGAUCCCCUCUGUGUUGGGCUGAGGUGGGUGACACUCAGUUAGAUAAAGGACAAGUUCAUGACAGCGCUCUCACGGGUCCGGAAAUCAUUCGAGAAACGACCGAGAAGAUCGUACAGAUUCGUGAACGAUUAAAAGCCGCUAGAGAUCGACAGAAAAGCUACGUAGACAAACGAAGAAAACCUUUGGAAUUCCAGGUAGGAGACCGAGUCCUUUUGAAAGUCUCACCCUAGAAGGGCACGAUACGCUUUGGAAAGCGUGGGAAGCUAAAUCCAAGGUACAUAGGGCCUUUCGACAUUCUUGCCAGAAUCGACCCCGUAGCUUACAAACUCAACCUACCUCGCGAGCUCAGUAACAUACAUCCUACCUUCCAUGUCUCAAACCUGAAAAAGUGCCUAUCCGACGAGACUCUCGUAAUCCCACUCGACGAGAUCGAGGUCAACGAGAGCCUCAACUUCGUGGAAGAGGCUAUGGAGAUCAUGGACCAAGUAGUCAAACGAACGAAACUAAGCCGCAUCCCAAUUGUGAAGGUUCGCUGGAAUGCCAAACGAGGACCGGAGUUCACUUGGGAGCGCGAGGAUCAAAUGAAACUCAAGUAUCACCAUCUCUUUGCUUAGUUGUAUUGUAAUAACUUAGGUACUUAAAUACUAAAUUUCGGGACGAAAUUCCCUCUCACGGGGGGAUGAUGUGACAACUCGAAAAUUAUUCCGUUGCGGUAUCCCAUUUCCGUUAAUAGAAUACUUUAUUUUAUUAUUAUUAUUAAGAUUUCCGUUAACAUUUGGGUUAGACAAAUCAACUAAUGAUUUAUUUUAUUUUAGUGUCGAAAUGAAAUAAAUAAAAACACGUGUAAUACCCUCAAAUUUAUUUGGGAUAAAUUUUUAGUUUACAAAUAAGCCGAAUUACAACCAUUUAAUCGGGUAAAAAUUUAAACCCCGUUUAAUGUCAGUAUCGGGUAGAUUCCCACCUGGCCACAAACCCAACCCCUAUAUAAGGGUUGAGUAGGAACUAAAUGGAACUUUUUACCACUCUAGUCACUCUCUCUUCAAUACUCGAUUCUUCCAAAAAUCUGCAAGUUUUAGCUCCCAAACUGUAAGUUCUCUUACCCUAGAUUGUUCUAAAACUCAUUACAUAUCUUUAUAGCUUGAAAAUCAUCCAAGAAGGUCAAAAAUAUGGAGUUUACGGCCCAAGAACCCUCUUAGGCCGUAAACCCCUAAAAAUGUGCCAAAAAUGCCCCAAAUCCCCUCCUUAGGCUUAGAGGCUAGCUUAGAACUUAACCUUGAAGUGUUUUAGACAUUAAACACCAAGUUUGGAGGCUUGAAAGAGGGUUUACGGCCUAAGAACAUUCUUAGGCCGUAAACUCCCACAAACUAUGCAAAUCAAGCCCUAAACCCCCUAUUUAGCCUUAUACCUUCACCUAGAAACAUGUAGAAGUGAGCUAAGGACCUCAAAAUCGAAGUAUAAGGUGUGUCUAAGGGUUUACGGCUGUAAACCAUAGAGUUUACGACCGUAAACUCCCAAGGAGUGGUCCUAGGACCGCAAACUCCAAGGGAGUGCCCCUUUUGAACCCUAAACACCCCUCAAGCCUUGGAAUUUAACUUAGAAUCCUUCCUAGUGAUACUAGAGAACUUAAGGCACACGAAUACACUCCUCCCAUGAGUUUACGGCCGUAAACUCAUGGGGGAAAGGGUCCCUCAACCGUAAACUCACCUAGGGUGAGUAUUUUAGGAGUAAACUCCAUAGUGAGGUCAUAUACUCCUUAGAUACAACCCAAUAGCCUCCUAGCACUUAACCAAAGCGUUUUUCUUCUCUUUAGGAUGCCUAUACGUGUUAAAUUAGUGUUUUAAUCACUAAUUAUAUGUAAACAUAUGUUUUCAUAUGUUACUAGGGUCGUAGAGUGUGUUCAAGUCUUAACAUGACACCAAACACUCAACCGAGACUUUCAUCCGAUCCACUCGCUACAUGUGAGUUCAUACCCCUUAAUUAACCAUUCUAAUGUUUCUUUUAAAUGUUUUAGGGGGGGGGGGGNAAUACAACAAGUUAUAGUAUCAAAUCAUAUGUGAUUUAUAACUUUAAAUCAAAAAGGAUUUUUCUAUACUUUUAGCUACUUGUCAACAAAACUGUUUUAAAUAAUUAUCAAUGCAUUUUCUAUGUUUAAUUGAUGUUAAACUAUUUUCAAACUGUCUUUAAACUACUUUUCUUUUAAACUAUAUCUACACCAAUAUAUUUAUAUAAAUAAGACUUGAAGGACUUAGGACUGAUAGCUUGCCUUACUUCAUGUUCUUGUUUGAUUGGGGUCUUAAGGUAUACUGUUAUCCAUCCGACUGUCGUUGAAUUCUUAGUUAUAUAUCAUAUAUAUUUGUGUUAGAUAUGAAAGUCUUCAUUUUGUUCAUUACCUUUGUAAAUCAAAGGCAUGCAAUCCCACACUCUAUUUAACUAUAAUAGGUACAGUUAAGACUACUGCUCAUUUCCUCUAUCAUUAUGAUACUCACUAUAAUUACUACUAUUACGAGUAAUCAUGUUAAAGAGAACACUCUAUAUACUAUACUAAAAAGUUCAGUAUACUAUGAUACAAGAGAAUACAAUAAUCCAAAAUGUGACACACUAUCCCUCUAUACGGCACUCUACUGUGCAAACACCGUGUAACCAGAGCUUCCGGAAGGGAAAGCAACCACUACAUGUAUAGAUCUAUACAGGAAAGACACUAUUACAUCCCGACUGCUAACUACAGUCCAAGCCGACUAGGCCUAGGGGUGACGAAACUUCACUACACUACGUAUGACGGGGAAGGUCAUCGGAUAUUCUACUAUCACUAAGAUUGGUUACAUGAGAAAUUACAUUCGUACCCAAAUUAACACACUAAGAAUUGAAGGCUAAACUAACUUCCCGAAGUGAAUAUACAUACAUAUAUUACUAAAUUGAAGUUUGUAACACUACUAUAUCCAGCCGGCAGUAAAACUGCUAAAAUAAGAUAUUAUCUUUUCUCAUUUACUUUACAUGAAUGAAGUCUAUAAUCUUAUUUUCAUGAUUAACAGUCUCAAUGGGAAAACUUUUACACACUCAAAGGAUCA
rnacentral:lncRNA from 1 species